rnacentral:rRNA from 1 species
GACGAACGCUGGCGGCGUGCUUAACACAUGCAAGUCGAACGGAAAGGCCCUGCUUUUGUGGGGUGCUCGAGUGGCGAACGGGUGAGUAACACGUGAGUAACCUGCCCUUGACUUUGGGAUAACUUCAGGAAACUGGGGCUAAUACCGGAUAGGAGCUCCUGCUGCAUGGUGGGGGUUGGAAAGUUUCGGCGGUUGGGGAUGGACUCGCGGCUUAUCAGCUUGUUGGUGGGGUAGUGGCUUACCAAGGCGUUGACGGGUAGCCGGCCUGGGAGGGUGACCGGCCACAUGGGAACUGAGCUACGGCCCAGACUCCACCGGGAGGCAGCAGUGGGGAAUAUUGCACAAUGGGCGGAAGCCUAAUGCAGCAACGCCGCGUGCGGGAGGACGGCCUUCGGGUGGAAAACCGCUUUCGCCUGUGACGAAGCGUGAGUGACGGUACUGGGGAAAGAAGCACCGGCUACCUACGU